GCACCGGUACAGCAUAGUGGUGAGCAGUACGACUCGUAACCGAAAGGUUGCCGGUUCGAUUCCCCGCUGGGGCA